rnacentral:rRNA from 1 species
UAAUACCGCAUGAUGUCGCAAGACCAAAGUGGGGGACCUUARGGCCUCACGCCAUGAGAUGAACCCAGAUGAGAUUAGCUAGUAGGUGCGGUAAUGGCGUACCUAGGCGACGAUCUCUAGCUGGUCUGAGAGGAUGACCAGCCACACUGGAACUGAGAGACGGUCCAGACUCCUACGGGAGGCAGCAGUGGGGAAUAUUGCACAAUGGGCGGAAGCCUGAUGCAGCCAUGCCGCGUGUGUGAAGAAGGCCUUAGGGUUGUAAAGCACUUUCAGCGGGGAGGAAGGCGGUAAGAGUAAUAUGCUUAUCRAUUGACGUUACCCGCAAAAGAAGCACCGGCUAACUCCGUGCCAGCAGCCGCGGUAAUACGGAGGGUGCGAGCGUUAAUCGGAAUAACUGGGCGUAAAGRGCAUGUAGGCGGUAAGUUAAGUCAGAUGUGAAAUCCCCGAGCUUAACUUGGGAACGGCAUUUGAGACUGGCUGGC